ensembl:lncRNA
GGCAGGGUUGAUGAGGUCUUUGGUAUCUUCCAUACCACAGAGCUGUAAACAGAAAAACAAAAAACAACAACAACAAAAGCCUCACAACCUAAUUUUUAGAAAUGGUGCUGGUCAACAGGAAGAGAAGUUAGUUGUGGGUGUUGAACAAGAUGAUCUUUAAGGUCCCUUCCAACCCCAAAACAUUUUUGAUUCUAGAUUGGGUUCAUGAAGCCACAGCCCUCUUCCCAUUACAAGUAUAGGUAUUUUUAGCAUGAUUUAAAGAGUACAGAUGAUUGUGAGUAGCCAGCUAAAAAAGUUUGGUAGCACUGAAUAGCACUGAGUGAGAAAUGUAGCAGAGGGAUUUUUUUUAAAGAAGUGGAAAUAUAUAUGCACACACAUAAGUCUUUUUCUUUUGACAGAUUUUUAUUCAAAAGCAUGCUUGAAGGUUGGCUAGCAGGACUGGCUUAGCAAACAUCCACUUCUUGGAGUUGGAAGUUUUAAAUUAUUUUGGAUUUCAUAUGUAAUUUUCUGUUUUCAAGAAAAGGAAAUGAGAUCCUUGAUUAAAUUCUUUGUUUACUUUCUAACCUUAUACGGGGCUGUGUGAUUGUAAGUUGCUCUUAGUUCCUCAAGUAGGUUGAAGUAAUGACAGAGGGAUGGUUCUCUUUGAUGGCUUUAGUCAUCCAUUUGGGGAAAAAAAUAAAAUGUUACUUAAAUGUUACCAAUUAUGUGAUAACUGGGGAAAUGGACAAGCUGUUGUGUGAGAGAAUGAGAGCUUCACCUUGAGUAUUUUAUCAUUAAUAUUAAUUUACUGUUGGCUAAUAAUAGCACGUGAAGGGGCAAUUAAAAGAUAGUGGUUACAUACAGCUGUAUGACUUCACAUCAAAUAUGAACUUGCUAUUCCUCACUGACAUGAUUUGGCUUUCUGAGUAAGGCCAAUCCAAAUGUGGAAGUGAGUCUAGAAGAAAGUCAAUCAUGUUAAUCUCUAUUCAAGAUGAUCAAGCAUUGCUGUAGGAUAGUGUAUAGACAGUAUAGUGUAUAGACAGGGUAGUGAUAUUCUUGUUUUGGGGCUCUACUAGUAGAUACUCGAAUACUGGCAAAUCUUGGCCUUGGUUCUUCCCUCCUGCCUUUGCUUGUAUCUGAUUAGGCAGCUACCACUGCGUUUAUAAGCUAAGACUUUGCAAUUAGUAGGAUUUACCAGUAUACUUUGCAGUGCUUAGAUUCCAGAGCAAGGAAUAGCUAUUGUCCCUGUUGCCCAAAUAGAAUCAGAAGCGUACCCCAUGAGGAUGUUCAUCAGAGAGGACAGUCAGGAAAGAAGGGACAAAAUAUUAUAGUGCAUCAAGAGUGUUUAUUUUUGGUAAGAAAGGUAAUGGGGUUCUAGACACUGAUAAAAGCAGUGUUGUAAUAGAUCCACUGAAAAUGGAUGCCGAAACUUAUUUCUGCUUAAGAAAAAAACAACACAUGAACAAUCAAACAUGAAAUUUGGAGUAAAUGAAGGAUUUUGUUUGCACAUACACUGUUCAGGAAAGGAGUGUGGAUGGGACGGUGCUCUUAUGUUUAUUGAUACACAGGAAAACUCUUGAUAAUAAAUGUGGAUACUUGUCUUGAUUUAGCAAUGACAAAGAGAGGAAAGAGCUGGUUAAGAAACAGAAGAAAAAAGUAGCUUGUGAAAGAUUAACUUGAACUGAUUAAAUUCAUUAUUUGUAGGAAAUGAUGGAGGAAGAAUAACAAAAAGAGAAGAGAACAGCAGAAUACUAGAAUUCAGAAAACUUGUAGGAUGCCAUAGGAAGCAUUUUAGAAACCAAGAAGAAUUCGGUAAUGUUACCUGCUCUGUAGAGAAAAAGUGUGAAUCACUAAUUUGUACUUCCUUUUGCACUGGCACAUAGCAACAGACCUAUUUGACUAAGUCAGUACACUGCUAAUGACCUCAGAUCCAAGGAAAAAAAAAAAGUAUGAAGCGAGGUGAGAAUGUUAAGGAUAAGUAAGAAAGAGUGACACAGGCACAUGGAGUAGAAAAAAAAAAAAAAAAAGAGGAGUGUUUGAGACAUAAAACAAUAUCAAACCAGUGAAGGAGGUAAAAAUAUGUCCUCAUUAUCUUUCAUAUGGUUUUUAACAGGAGGAGGAUAUUGUUCCAGCAGUCAAUAAGAAGAGAAAAGUAACAAUAGUUGAUGCCAAGAGGAAUAAAGUAAUGAACUCUGCUUUUUUUCAAUGUAAGAGUGAGGUGAUACAAUGUGUAAUCCAGCAAUCCAGCACCUCUUCAGCAUGUUUGUGGUGAUUCACAGAGGUUAAAUGCAAUUCCAGAUGUUUUUUUUGUUUCAUCUUGUGUUUUUUUUUCUGUGAAGUGAGUUAUGUGAAACUGAGUAAUAGAAUUCUAUUUACCAGGAAAACUAGGAUAGAUGUAAUUUGUAAACAUCUGCAAGAUAGCAGAAUGAUGGUAAAAGCUAUUAGAAUUUUUCGAUAGGAUUUUUAUCAUGGUUCUUUCUGUGUCAUGAUUUGAGGUCGAGGGGACUGGGUUAAGAUGUUCUGUUUUAUAGGAUAUAGUUGCAGGGAUAGUGUGGAAUGAACUGGAAAAGUGAGAAGAAGGAUGCCAAUAGCUGUGAUUGUUCUCUGAUACACUGCCUAGGCAUCUAUUUUUGUCUCCUGAGGUGGUUAAAAUUUUCAACAGUGAUUUAAAGGAUUGAAUAAUAGAGAAUGCGUCCAUUACUUUCCCAGAUGGAUACCAAAGUGGGAUUGCAUGCAAGUUUUCUGGAGAACAGAAUUCCGAUUCAAAAUGAACAUGUCUUGAUUGGGAUACAGUCAUUGGCUUUGGGGAGUUCACUGCUCUUAAAUUUUCAUAUAGCCUACAUUUUUCUUGCAUCAAGGAUGCAGCUUCAAUUUCUCUUGUUCUCCUUCUUUCAAAUACUGAAUCAAAUUCAGAAUGUCAUUGAGCUUAAAAUACUUGGCCUACAGCCUCAUCCUAAAUGAAAUGCUUAAGUCUGAAGUUAUGACUGAAUGCAACAUGUCAGUCCUGAUGCUGCUGCAAGCACUGAAAUGAAAUGGCAUCUUUCCCCCACUUGUAGAACAGACCCAGAGCUGUAGUUUGCUAGAAUUGCCUUGAUACCAUGAAUGCUGCUUAAACCACCAGUGAACAUAAGUUUUACAUUGUAUGAAGUUGUGAAGUGAGCAGUAAAAAUGAAGGAGCCACAUUGUGGUUUUUCUUAAUGCUGUAAGCAUGGUAAAUUCAAAGGGAAAGAUGUGAAGACCAAAGAAAGGUGUAGCAGUAUCUUAAUGGCUCUUGUUAGUCACUGGGGCUCAGGCAUUAGAGCCUAUUGCCAAGUACUAGAUACAGUAAGUAAAAUAGGGUCAAAAGCAUUUAGAGAGCAUAUAG